GUAUUUCAUUGCGUUAAACGCGGCAUACAUUCCAUGAGACUUCGUUACGGUGUGUGUGUGUAAAGACGUAGAACCACAGCAGGGGAGCAGAGCCCCCAAGCCAUAGGAACUACAGAGGGUGCACAGGUGUGAGUGGAGUGUAAACAGAGUGUGCACAUGCCCCCAUCUGAGGACCAGCAACAACUUCUGUCGACAGUUCAGUAAUGAUCCUUCCGCAGGUUCACCUACGGAAA
rnacentral:misc_RNA from 1 species